rnacentral:rRNA from 1 species
GGAAUAUUGGACAAUGGCCGGAAGGCUGAUCCAGCCAUGCCGCGUGCGGGAGGACGGCCCUAUGGGUUGUAAACCGCUUUUGCGGGGGAGCAAUAAUCACUACGUGUAGUGAGAUGAGAGUACCCUGCGAAUAAGCAUCGGCUAACUCCGUGCCAGCAGCCGCGGUAAUACGGAGGAUGCGAGCGUUAUCCGGAUUUAUUGGGUUUAAAGGGUGCGUAGGCGGUUUGCUAAGCGGGAGGUGAAAUGCCGGCGCUCAACGUCGGAAGUGCCUCCCGAACUGGUGGACUGGAAUGGCUCUGCCGUGGGAGGAAUGUGUAGUGUAGCGGUGAAAUGCUUAGAGAUUACACAGAACACCGAUUGCGAAGGCAUCUCACGAAGGGCCGAUUGACGCUGAGGCACGAAAGCGUGGGGAUCAAACA